rnacentral:rRNA from 1 species
GCAUAGGAAUCUGCCCAGUAGCGGGGGACAACUCGGGGAAACUCGAGCUAAUACCGCAUACGCCCUACGGGGAAAGCGGGGGACCUUCGGGCCUCGCACUAUUGGAUGAGCCUAUGCCUGAUUAGCUUGUUGGUGGGGUAACGGCCUACCAAGGCGACGAUCAGUAGCUGGUCUGAGAGGACGAUCAGCCACACUGGGACUGAGACACGGCCCAGACUCCUACGGGAGGCAGCAGUGGGGAAUAUUGCACAAUGGGCGCAAGUGAUGCAGCAAUGCCGCGUGUGUGAAGAAGGCCUGCGGGUUGUAAAGCACUUUCAGUAGGGAGGAAACUGUAACGGAAUAAUACCCGUUACCCUGACGUUACCUACAGAAGAAGCACCGGCUAACUCUGUGCCAGCAGCCGCGGUAAUACAGAGGGUGCAAGCGUUAAUCGGAAUUA